rnacentral:rRNA from 1 species
ACGCUGGCGGCGUGCUUAACACAUGCAAGUCGAACGGUAGUUACGUUUUCGGAUGUAACUUAGUGGCGAACGGGUGAGUAACGCGUGAGGAACCUGCCUCUCAGUGGGGGACAACAGUUGGAAACGACUGCUAAUACCGCAUAAGCGCACAGUACCGCAUGGUACAGUGUGAAAAGAUUUAUCAGCAUGAGAUGGACCCGCGUCUGAUUAGCUAGUUGGUGAGGUAACGGCUCACCAAGGCGACGAUCAGUAGCCGGCCUGAGAGGGUGAACGGCCACAUUGGGACUGAGACACGGCCCAAACUCCUACGGGAGGCAGCAGUGGGGAAUAUUGCACAAUGGGGGAAACCCUGACCGAGCAAUGCCGCGUGUGGGAUGACUGUCCUUUGGAUUGUAAACCACUUUUAUUAGGAAAGAACUGUAAGUAUAGGAAAUGAUACUUACUUGACGGUACCUUUUGAAUAAGCCCCGGCUAACUACGUG